rnacentral:rRNA from 1 species
CACGUAGGGGGCGAGCGUUGUCCGGAUUUAUUGGGCGUAAAGAGCUCGUAGGCGGUUCCGUUAGUCGGGUGUGAAAACCCCAGGCUCAACCUGGGGACGCCACCCGAUACUGCGAUGACUAGAGUCCGGUAGGGGAGUGUGGAAUUCCUGGUGUAGCGGUGAAAUGCGCAGAUAUCAGGAGGAACACCAACGGCGAAGGCAGCACUCUGGGCCGGAACUGACGCUGAGGAGCGAAAGCGUGGGUAGCGAACAGG